UAUAUGUGUCGGGAACUAUUUAUAUAUAGGUAUACAAAUAUCUAAGUAUUCAUAUACAUUUAUGCAUAUAUGUAUAUAAAUACCUAUAUACAAGUAUAAAAAUAUCUAUUUGCAUAUAUGCAUACAUAUGUAAAACUAUAUAUGUAUUCAUAUACCAAAGUACCUGUAUAUGCAUUGUAUAUAAAAUAUCUAUGUAUAUAUGCAUAUGUAUAUAAAAAUAUCUAUCUAUAUAUAUGACUGUAUAAUUAUGUGUAUGUGUCUACAUAUAUGUAUGUGUGUACGUGUAUAUCUAUGUUUGUAUGUGUGUAUAAAGCAAAACUUCGUGCAAAUGUAUAUUAAACAUCUAUAUGUGUUGUGUCUUUUCUUUAAACGUAGCCAGGUUUGAGUUUAUUAAAAUGUCUAAUUAUUAAGUAAAUUUUGUACAGUAAUUGUACUAAAAUAAAUAAAGGUAUAUGAUUAAGAAAUGGUAGCUUUCUUAAAUCUGUAUAUUUAAUUUAAAAAGUAAUUUUUUAUUUUAGAAAUAUACUAACAUGAGGUGAUAUUAAACAAAAUGUGCUGGAAUUUGAAAAGAAGACAUAAACAGCCUCUGCCCUACUUUCUUGAAUUGGUGCUUAUAAUAAUUAGUAUCACUUCACUGCAAAUAUCUUUACAAUUAUAAUAUACUAAUGUAAUAAUGCAUUCAUAAUAUACUAGGAUAACAAUUUUUUAACUACUUAUACUUAGUCAUCUAAAGUUAGUUAGUAAUACAACCUUGUUAUUUUGAAGAUGUCAUAUUUUGUAGCUACUUGAAGGUUUUUCUAUACUUUUGUGUAAAAAUGGGUUGCCAUUGUUAGUUUGGAUUUUCCAAGAGCUUCAGGCUAUAUAUUUUAUUUUUUUAAUUUAAAAAAAAAAAAAGGAAAUCUGUCAGAAAUAAUUAUCCUGAAAUUAUUGGAAAGAAAGCCAGAAAAACAGGAUAAUUUCUUCCACUUUACUUGACGUGGUGUUUAAUUUCGACUUGUGACAUUUUUUUGUGUGAAAAGUAGUCAAAUUAUUCCCAGUUGAUCCACAGUGAAUUGCCUUUAUUUUAUAUAAACCUUUGCAUAUCUGGAAGUGGAUAUCCCAAGCAACUCUUUUAGUGGAAACACAGUAAAUGAUUGUUAUUAUUGUUAUUUUUUUUUAAGAAUUUACAAAAUGUGAUUACUUAAUAUUUUUUUAAAAAUUAAUAACUAUAUUGAUAUCAGUUCUCUAAUUUUUUUUUAAAGAAUAUACAUCCCUUCCUUUAAACACUUUAAUCUUUUUUUUUAAGUUUUCCAGGAAAAUUGAUUUUUUUUUCUUUUUCUGUUAGCAAAUUUUGAUUCUGAAUAUGCAACUAACAUGGUAUAUUAAAGUGGUAAAUUGUCAGAUUAUAGUCUAAUUAGGUUGUCUAAUCUGUGAUCAUUUUAGAUUAAUAUCACUUUAUGUUUCAUUUAUAUUUUUCAUUAUUCAUUUUUAUAUUUAUACUUUGUUAUAAACAAACAAAAUUAAGUAGUCUAUCGAAAACAAGUUUUGGGGAGAAAAUAUUUUCAUUUGGCUAUUUGCUUUAUAAUCUUAUUCUAUUUGCUCAAUAUUUUAUUUCCCCCCUGCCUAAAUUUUCAGAUGUAGAUUUACUUCAUACUAGUAAAGCCACUAGUUGAUAUAAUAAAGUCUUGGUAUAAAUUAUAUAUAUAUAUAUGACAUAUACUAGUGUCUAUUUGGAAAAUACUUUUAGUAUUUGUUUCUGGUUUUAUACAAUAAAUGCAAGGCACUAACAAAAGUUUAUAGCAACUUACAAUAGAAGUGUAGUUACAAUAUUUUCAUAAUUUUCUUUCUAUUAUUAAUUUCUAAAUUGAUAUUUUUUCAUUGGUAAAAUAUUUUCUGUCAAUUUUCUUUUGAUCUCUAGAAAUUAAUUCAUUUUAAAAUAAAGAAGAAAAAAAAUUCUUUUACACUGAUUGUUUUGCAAUAAAGUUUCACUUAAUGAAUCUUAUUUCAGAAUAAUAAAAUAUAGAUUUUUUUUUUUUUUUUGAAAUGAAUUGUUGAUACAAUAAUUUUUAUUGUCACAUACAGUAAAUUAAAGAGAAAAAAAAAAAAAAAAGAGAAGAAAAAAAAAAAUCAUUGAAUUAAUUUUGUUUGUCUAUUUUGUGUUCCAUUAAAUAUUUUAGACUGAUAGAGAUAACAUAUUAGGGCUUUUGUUUCUUUCAUAUAGCAUAGUUUUAAUGUUAAACAAAAAAAAGUCAGUAAUUGUUUCUCUUAACUAGAACUGCUAUAAAUGUUUCAUUACUUUGGGACUGUCACAUUUAAUAUGUAGCGUACAACUCUAACAUUUCCUAAUUUUAUCAACAACAUCACAACCAUGCCUAAUUCAAAAAUAAACAUUCAUCUUUGGCUUCAUAAAUUAACACAAUCUUAAUUUUUUCUUUUUUCAGUAUUACUAAAAUGUUUCGUCAAGGAUAAAAAAUAAAAAAUAUUCGAAUAUGUUUGUGUAGAUAGAUGCAUCCAAAUAUUUCAUUGAGUUAUUUCAAAGUUGAAUUCUAUUCAACCGCUUAAUUGUUUUAUCAAUUAUGAUCCAUCUUGCAAAACUAAAUGUAUUCAAAUCAGAAUAAAGCCCUUGUUAUUGUGAUAAAUUUCAUACUUUUAAGCUUGUUUAAUUACACUCAUGAAAUUUAUUAUAUUAUAUGACAACACAAAGUAGCAACAAUAUAUUUGUAUGCAUUCUUCAUUGUUUUCCACCAGAAUUAGUUGUCACCAUAGAUUUAAUAACAACAAACACUUGUUUGAUGGUUAUGGUUUUAAUUUCACAGAAAUACUGUAAAAAUGUGUGUGUGUGUGUGUGUGUUAAUAGGUAUGUGUGCAUAAAACAUUUUAAAAAUCUAUUCUGCAUCUAUUUCCAUGCUAGGUGAUUUUUAUUGUACUUAUGUUCAGAGACAAAACCAAAAUUAUGAUCAGUAUUUAAAAUUUCUACAAACGCAUACAUGAAACAAAAAACAUAUCUACAAACAUAAUAAAUGUAUAUGUGUUUAUGUAUGUAUAUAUAUAUAUAUAUAUAUAUAUAUAUACGCAUACACAUAUGUGUCUGUGUAUGUGGUGAUAUAUAUGUGAGUGUGAUAUAUGAUACAUAUAUACAUCAUCUGACACAUGGAAAUGUGGACGUAAAAAUAAUGACAUGAUAUAUAUAUGUGGUGGAUACAUAUAUAUAUGUGUGAAAUAAACAUUUAUAUAUGAGAUACAUAUAUAAAUAGAUGAUAUAUAUAUAUUGAUAUAUAUGAUAUAUAUUGUGUAUGGUAUUAUAUAUAUAUGAAAUAUAUAUUGAUAUAUAUGAUAUACAUUAUAUAUGGUGUUAUAUAUAUAUAUAAAAUAUAUACAGAUAUAUAUAUAUAUAAAACAUAGGUGAUAUAUAUGUGAUUAUACUAUUUAUGAUAUAUGUAUGAUAUAGAUGCACGUAUGUAUGUAUAUACAAAAUAUAUAUGCAUGCAUAUAUAUGUGUAUAUAUAUAUAUAUAUGUAGUGAUGUAUAUGGUGGAAGAUAUAUGUGAUUAAAGUGCAUAUAUUUUUGUAUGUGUGUGUGUGCAUACAUACACAUGUAUAGCUAUCUAUAUACAUUAUAAAUAUAUAAACACAGACACAUGCACAUAAUACACAACAAAUGUUGCCCUCUUCUUGAAAGAGUUAACAAUUCCAUUCCAGUUUUUCUGUUCAUCAUUCUUUAAAGUAAAUCAAAGCAGAUGCCUCAUCUUGUUCCCAUACAAACAUUUCAUUUUUAUCUUGUGCAUCGAGAUAUCAUUUUCUGUUAGAAUUUUCAUUUUGACAACACUCCACAUUUUCUCUACAUUGUAACGGUUUAGUUUUUCACAAAGAUAUUUUAAUAUUUAUUUUUCUUUUUAAGUACUAUAAUAUUUAUUUUUGUUUACUAAAAAAAUUUCUAUUGGGAUAACUUGUUUGUCAUCAAACAGGUUAUUCUGAUGCUAUUUCCAUCCUUUACUGUUGUUUAGACAAAUUGGAUGCCUUUUUAUUCCCGAUCAAGAUAGCUUAUUCCUACUUGUCUGGGAUUAAAGCUUCAUAUUAAUUUAUUUAUUAAUACAUCUACUAUUACUAAGAAGAAAUGCUUAUCCUCUGACUCCCCCACCCUGCCUGAACUUAUUUUUACAAAUAUACAUUUUUAUUUAAUUUUCCAAGUUAUAUUUCGUGUUACUGUAAAUACAUUUAUUAUUAGUAUGAACUUGCAAGA
rnacentral:lncRNA from 1 species